rnacentral:rRNA from 1 species
ACUGAGAAGAUAGUGGCGAACGGGUGAGUAACACGUGGGUAACCUGCCCAUAAGAGGGGGAUAACAUCCGGAAACGGGUGCUAAUACCGCAUAGUUUUCUUGAUCGCAUGAUUGAGAAAGGAAAGACGGCCUUUGUGGCUGUCGCUUAUGGAUGGACCCGCGGCGUAUUAGUUAGUUGGUGAGGUAACGGCUCACCAAGACGGAAUGAUACGUAGCCGACCUGAGAGGGUGAUCGGCCACAUUGGGACUGAGACACGGCCCAAACUCCUACGGGAGGCAGCAGUAGGGAAUCUUCCGCAAUGGACGAAAGUCUGACGGAGCAACGCCGCGUGAGUGAAGAAAAGGUUUUCGGAUCGUAAAACUCUGUUGUCAGAGAAGAACAAGUUGGAGAGUAACUGCUCCAGCCUUGACGGUAUCUGACCAGAAAGCCACGGCUAACUACGUGCCAGCCGCAGC